UUCGCUUGCUUUCCCUCUCCCUCUCUCUCACCGUUGCCGUUCUCUGUUUCUCUCUUUGCUCUAUGUCUAUUUCUCUUUCUCUUUAACAUUCACAUAAACACAAACCCUAGGCCACCAUUCAAAAUCACUAUAGUACAAGAAUUCAACAAUACUCAACCUUUGCCCUCGGUCUCUCUCCCUUUCUCUCUCUCUCUCUAUAUAUAUAUAUAAUGCGGCGAAUUUUAGUACGGAGAGAGGGAUUUGAGCUCUGAUGAAUUGAUUCCUUUUCUGCUUUGAUUCUUCUUCUUCUUCUUCAACAUAGCUUCGACUUGCAGCUCUAACAGGUUAGUUCCGACUUUUCUUCUUCUUCUUCUUCACUAUUUUUCGAUCCUUCUAUCUGUGUAACAGAGGAGACCAAACAAAGAGGAAGAUGUCAGACCUAGACAGUCAAAUUGAGCAGCUGAAGAAGUGCGAGCCUUUGAAAGAGUCCGAAGUCAAGUCCCUUUGCCUGAAAGCCAUGGAAAUCCUCAUCGAAGAGAGCAAUGUUCAAAGGGUCGACACACCUGUCACUAAGCAACACCUAAGACAAUGGGGGUAAAAGGUCUUGCCCUUUAUCACUUGAAAUCGCAUCUUCAGGCAUAGUAUUUGGUGUCUCAUUUUUGCAGAAAUGUCGUUUGGGAAAGCAAUCUUGCAAGGAGUUACCUGACAGCUCUAAAGAUGCGUCUUGCAUUGCUAAGAGUCAAGACACUUGUUCAUGUACAGCAUCAUCGUCAAAACUAGCUCAAGAUUUAAAUGAGAGGUAAUGAUGCUUCUCACUCAGCUGAAGCUAUAGCCCGUAGAGGAUCAAGUAGUUUUGCUCGCCCUGACGUUGUAUUGUGUUGUGUUGUUAAUGAAUGUUAAUGAAUGUUAAUGCUUCAAUUUAGAGUUGUAUUGUGUCGAAUGUUAAUGAAUUAUGUAUUGUGUCGAAUGUUAAUGAUUCAGUUAAUUUGAAUGAUGCUUUAAAAUUA